GAUGAAGAACGCAGUGAAAUGCGAUAAUUAAUGUGAAUUGCAGAAUUCAGUGAAUCAUCGAGUCUUUGAACGCACAUUGCGCCCCCUAGUAUUCCGGGGGGCAUGCCUGUCCGAGCGUCAUUGCUGCCCUCAAGCACGGCUUGUGUGUUGGGCUUCCGUCCCUGGCAACGGGGACGGGCCCAAAAGGCAGUGGCGGCACCAUGUCUGGUCCUCGAGCGUAUGGGGCUUUGUCACCCGCUCCCGUAGGUCCAGCUGGCAGCUAGCCUCGCAACCAAUCUUUUUAACCAGGUUGACCUCGGAUCAGGUAGGGAUACCCGCUGAACUUAAGCAUAUCAAUAAGCGGAGGA
rnacentral:misc_RNA from 1 species